rnacentral:lncRNA from 1 species
AUUCCAGUGAUCACACACCUACAACACCCCUCCCUCAGCACUUUGUCUUGAAACUUUUUGAUGUACUUAUGAUGUAACAAUUACAUCAUAUGCAUCAUCAGAAUUGGUAUUUAAUCCAUCCUACUUGGCUAACCUGAAUCUCUUUGGAAGCAAGGAUGCCAUCAGAUCUUUUAUUUCCAGCCCAGUACCAUAUACAGUGCUCCACACACAGCAAAUAAAGAAAUGAAGAUGCAAAGAGCUUAAAUGAUUUUAAGACCUCAUAGGCAUUUAGCUACAAAGUUUUAUUUUUCUCAGCUGAAUGUUCUUUCCAUCAUUUUAUUGAGGUAUUCCCCCGAACCUAGGGAACUGGAAACAACCCUUUUCAUUUCCAGCCAUAUCUUAUAACUUCAAGAUAUCCAAUGAGGGAUGGAGAAUGGACUGGCCCUUUUUCAACCAAGAAUAAUAAUAUUCUUUGAAUAUUUGUACUGGAGUCCUUAGCUUCCUUUUUGUGCCUGUCUUUUCUUUUCUGAGUAGUUGAUAUAGCAUCAACUUUGAUGUGGGUAUGUUCAAGUUUGGAGGAAAUCCUGUGGAUAAGUUGAAUGAAACUGACCAUCAGCAAUGGAAGUUUCUUCAUUUGAGAAGAUGAUCAAUAAAAAGAGGAGACCAAGCCCCUCA